CUAUAAUGCAGUCGAGCGAAUGGAUUAAGAGCUUGCUCUUAUGAAGUUAGCGGCGGACGGGUGAGUAACACGUGGGUAACCUGCCCAUAAGACUGGGAUAACUCCGGGAAACCGGGGCUAAUACCGGAUAACAUUUUGAACCGCAUGGUUCGAAAUUGAAAGGCGGCUUCGGCUGUCACUUAUGGAUGGACCCGCGUCGCAUUAGCUAGUUGGUGAGGUAACGGCUCACCAAGGCAACGAUGCGUAGCCGACCUGAGAGGGUGAUCGGCCACACUGGGACUGAGACACGGCCCAGACUCCUACGGGAGGCAGCAGUAGGGAAUCUUCCGCAAUGGACGAAAGUCUGACGGAGCAACGCCGCGUGAGUGAUGAAGGCUUUCGGGUCGUAAAACUCUGUUGUUAGGGAAGAACAAGUGCUAGUUGAAUAAGCUGGCACCUUGACGGUACCUAACCAGAAAGCCACGGCUAACUACGUGCCAGCAGCCGCGGUAAUACGUAGGUGGCAAGCGUUAUCCGGAAUUAUUGGGCGUAAAGCGCGCGCAGGUGGUUUCUUAAGUCUGAUGUGAAAGCCCACGGCUCAACCGUGGAGGGUCAUUGGAAACUGGGAGACUUGAGUGCAGAAGAGGAAAGUGGAAUUCCAUGUGUAGCGGUGAAAUGCGUAGAGAUAUGGAGGAACACCAGUGGCGAAGGCGACUUUCUGGUCUGUAACUGACACUGAGGCGCGAAAGCGUG
rnacentral:rRNA from 1 species